rfam:Oryza sativa Japonica Group DNA, chromosome 6, cultivar: Nipponbare, complete sequence.
AAUAGAUGACGCCUUUGACUUUUUCUCACAUAUUUGACCAUUCGUCUUAUUUAAAAAAUUUACGUAAUUAUAAUUUAUUUUGUAUGAGUUGUUUUAUUACUCGUAGUACUUUAAGUGUGAUUUAUAUCUUAUAGAUUUGCAUAAAAUUUUUAAAUAAGACGAAUGGUCAAACAUGUGAGAAAAAAUCAACGGUGUCAUCUAUU